UACGAGGGGGGCAAGCGUUUGUUCGGAAUUAUUGGGCGUAAAAGGCGCGUAGGCGGUGCGGUAAGUCACCUGUGAAAUCUCUGGGCUCAACUCAGAGUCUGCAGGCGAAACUGCCGUGCUGGAGUAUGGGAGAGGUGCGUGGAAUUCCCGGUGUAAGCGGUGAAAUGCGUAGAUAUCGGGAGGAACACCUGUGGCGAAAGCGGCUUCCUGGUCCAGCACCGACGUCAGGCACGGAAAGCGUGGGGAGCAAACAGG
rnacentral:rRNA from 1 species